AUUGAACGCUGGCGGCAUGCCUUACACAUGCAAGUCGAACGGCAGCACGGGUGCUUGCACCUGGUGGCGGGUGGCGAACGGGUGAGUAAUACAUCGGAACAUGUCCUGUAGUGGGGGAUAGCCCGGCGAAAGCCGGAUUAAUACCGCAUACGAUCUACGGAUGAAAGCGGGGGACCUUCGGGCCUCGCGCUAUAGGGUUGGCCGAUGGCUGAUUAGCUAGUUGGUGGGGUAAAGGCCUACCAAGGCGACGAUCAGUAGAUGGUCUGAGAGGACGACCAGCCACACUGGGACUGAGACACGGCCCAGACUCCUACGGGAGGCAGCAGUGGGGAAUUUUGGACAAUGGGCGAAAGCCUGAUCCAGCAAUGCCGCGUGUGUGAAGAAGGCCUUCGGGUUGUAAAGCACUUUUGUCCGGAAAGAAAUCCUUGGCUCUAAUACAGUCGGGGGAUGACGGUACCGGAAGAAUAAGCACCGGCUAACUACGUG
rnacentral:rRNA from 1 species